rnacentral:rRNA from 1 species
UACGGAGGGUGCAAGCGUUAUCCGGAUUUACUGGGUUUAAAGGGUGCGUAGGCGGGUUGGUAAGUCCGUGGUGAAAUCUCCGAGCUUAACUCGGAAACUGCCGUGGAUACUAUCAAUCUUGAAUAUCGUGGAGGUAAGCGGAAUAUGUCAUGUAGCGGUGAAAUGCUUAGAGAUGACAUAGAACACCAAUUGCGUAGGCAGCUUACUACACGAUCAUUGACGCUGAGGCACGAAAGCGUGGGGAGCAAACAGG